UUUUAAUGAGAGUUUGAUCCUGGCUCAGGACGAACGCUGGCGGCGUGCCUAAUACAUGCAAGUAGAACGCUGAAGGAGGAGCUUGCUUCUCUGGAUGAGUUGCGAACGGGUGAGUAACGCGUAGGUAACCUGCCUGGUAGCGGGGGAUAACUAUUGGAAACGAUAGCUAAUACCGCAUAAGAGUAGAUGUUGCAUGACAUUUGCUUAAAAGGUGCACUUGCAUCACUACCAGAUGGACCUGCGUUGUAUUAGCUAGUUGGUGGGGUAACGGCUCACCAAGGCGACGAUACAUAGCCGACCUGAGAGGGUGAUCGGCCACACUGGGACUGAGACACGGCCCAGACUCCUACGGGAGGCAGCAGUAGGGAAUCUUCGGCAAUGGACGGAAGUCUGACCGAGCAACGCCGCGUGAGUGAAGAAGGUUUUCGGAUCGUAAAGCUCUGUUGUAAGAGAAGAACGAGUGUGAGAGUGGAAAGUUCACACUGUGACGGUAUCUUACCAG
rnacentral:rRNA from 1 species